UGGGGAAUAUUGCACAAUGGGCGCAAGCCUGAUGCAGCCAUGCCGCGUGUAUGAAGCAGGCCUUCGGGUUGUAAAGUACUUUCAGCGAGGAGGAAGGCGUUGUGGUUAAUAACCGCAACGAUUGACGUUACUCGCAGAAGAAGCACCGGCUAACUCCGUGCCAGCAGCCGCGGUAAUACGGAGGGUGCAAGCGUUAAUCGGAAUUACUGGGCGUAAAGCGCACGCAGGCGGUCUGUCAAGUCGGAUGUGAAAUCCCCGGGCUCAACCUGGGAACUGCAUCCGAAACUGGCAGGCUAGAGUCUUGUAGAGGGGGGUAGAAUUCCAGGUGUAGCGGUGAAAUGCGUAGAGAUCUGGAGGAAUACCGGUGGCGAAGGCGGCCCCCUGGACAAAGACUGACGCUCAGGUGCGAAAGCGUGGGGAGCAAACA
rnacentral:rRNA from 1 species